UACGAAGGGGGCUAGCGUUGUUCGGAUUUACUGGGCGUAAAGCGCACGUAGGCGGAUUGGUCAGUUAGGGGUGAAAUCCUGGAGCUCAACUCCAGAGCUGCCUUUAAUACUGCCAGUCUCGAGUCCGGAAGAGGUAAGUGGAACUCCUAGUGUAGAGGUGGAAUUCGUAGAUAUUAGGAAGAACACCAGUGGCGAAGGCGGCUUACUGGUCCGGUACUGACGCUGAGGUGCGAAAGCGUGGGGAGCAAACAGG
rnacentral:rRNA from 1 species